CCUACGGGAGGCAGCAGUGGGGAAUAUUGCACAAUGGGGGAAACCCUGAUGCAGCGACGCCGCGUGAGUGAAGAAGUAUUUCGGUAUGUAAAGCUCUAUCAGCAGGGAAGAAAAUGACGGUACCUGACUAAGAAGCCCCGGCUAACUACGUGCCAGCAGCCGCGGUAAUACGUAGGGGGCAAGCGUUAUCCGGAUUUACUGGGUGUAAAGGGAGCGCAGACGGCUGUGCAAGUCUGGAGUGAAAGGCGGGGGCCCAACCCCCGGACUGCUCUGGAAACUGUAAAGCUGGAGUACAGGAGAGGUAAGCGGAAUUCCUAGUGUAGCGGUGAAAUGCGUAGAUAUUAGGAGGAACACCAGUGGCGAAGGCGGCUUACUGGACUGUAACUGACGUUGAGGCUCGAAAGCGUGGGGAGCAAACAGGAUUAGAUACCCGUGUAGUC
rnacentral:rRNA from 1 species